rnacentral:lncRNA from 1 species
AUCACAAGAACACAGCUGGGAAACACCUCCAAACCAGCAACAAUCCCUUCAAAAUCUGGACAUUACAAUUCACUCAAAAUCCAUUAAAAUUCAUCAAUUUCAGCACCUAAGCUUAGGAUUUAUCCAAUUCCAAUAUCAAAACUCACCUAACAAUCUCCAAAUCAGGUGAAGACGGUCCCAAUUCUAGUACUGGUUGAUAGGGGAUGUGACUCAACUCCACAAAGCCCCUGCUUCCAAAGUUCACCCCAAGAAAACUCAAAAACUUGCAAUUCUGUCCAUAGCAACAGUAGCAGAGGAAAACCUGAGUUCGACUAAGCUAACCUUCACCAAAUUCUGCAAAUCAAGGCUUCAUGGAUUCCUCUAAAAGUCUAGAAUCUAGCAAACCAAGUUUCGUCGAAAUCUGAUAUCCCUACGUCGCGCACGAGCCAAAAUACUGAAGGUCGUCACUGAAAAAUUACAGAAUCAGCACCUUGCAAUUCUUGGAGAUGUGAAAUCUUGAUGCAAAUUGAAAAGAUUGGAGGAAGUAAGGAGCAAAAUCUAAGUUCUCUAUGAAGAACAGGUAAAAAGAGCUCAAAGGGGACGUAUACCAGAUAUUUAUAGAGUGCUGGAGUAACAAAAUAAGCCCCAAGAGAAACAGCUGAAAUCUGGUGUCCCUGCAAAAACGGGUGUUUUUGGGCGCCCGAAACCAUGUUCUGGGCGACCGAAACAUCCGGGCUGCACAAAUCAUGCUCCUCGGACUCUCUGCUCGCGGUGUGCUGCGCCCGUAAACGGCUCCGGUGGAACUCACCUACCACCCUGCCACGCGUCGAAGCAAACGAUAUAAACGAUGUAGAAUUUCCGGACCACUUCUCGGCGCCUGGAACAUAGGAUCCGAAUUGGCUUCCAGUUUCAGUUGAAUUCAACACUCGGUUCUGGGCGACCUAAACCAUGUUCUGGGCGCCCGAAUCUGGCAAAACUCUAGUUUUGCUUAUUUGAGUGCGCCGAGUCCAAUUCUGCAUCCAAUUCGUGCAAAAUUGACUCCGACUCAAUCCGACACUCUUCAGAGAUGUCGACCAGUCACUAAUACUGAAGCCAAUCCUAUCCAAAGCUCAGGAACACUAUAUCCUCCCCCACUACAAAAAGUUUCGUCCACGAAACUAAAAACAUACCUCAAUCCAGAGCCUCAAAUAGGUAGGGGUAGGACUCCUUCAUCACCGUCUCCGGCUCCCAAGUUGCCUCCCGCUCCUCGUGAUUACUCCACUGCAACUUUACAAAGGGUAUGACCUAGUUGUGCAAUUCCCUCGACUCACGAGCCAUAAUCGGCACCGGUCGCUCCUCAUAACUCAGGUCCUCGCCAAUCUCAAGCGGAGUGAAGUCAAUCACGUGGGAGGGGUCGAACACAUAUUUUCUCAAAGCCGAGACGUGGAAGACAUCGUGAAUGCUGGCUAGUCGUGGUGGUAGAGCAAUCCUAUAAGCAACUGGCCCGACUCGCUCUAACACCUCAAAAGGGCCAACGAAACGUGGACUGAGCUUUCCACGUACUCCAAAUCCGCGAAUCCCUCUGGACGGCGAGACUUUAAGAAAAACAUGAUCUCCUACCUGGAACUCCAAGUCUCGUCUCCGGGUAUCAGCAUAGCUCCUCUGUCAACUCUGGGCUGCUAACAUGUACCGUAGCGCCUCCUUUACCUUUUUAUCAGCCUCAAUCAGAAUCUCAGACCCAAGCGUCCUCCUCUCACCCACAUCACUCCAAAAUAAAGGGGAUCGACAUCUGCGUCCAUACAACGCCUCAAAUGGAGCCAUUUGGAUGCUCGCUUGAUAGCUGUUGUUGUACGUAAACUCAACCAGUCUCAAAUGCCGAUACCACCCUCCUCCAAAGUCCAGGACACAUGCCCUCAGCAUGUCCUCUAGAGUCUGAAUGGUCCGCUCUGACUGACCAUCUGUUUGUGGGUGAAACACUGUACUGAAUUGCAACUGAGUGUGCAAGGCCGUCUGAAGACUCCUCCAAAAGUGUGAUACGAACCUCGGGUCCCGGUCGGAUACUAUCGAAGUAGGCACGCCAUGCAACCUCACUAUCUCAUCCAAGUACAACUGAGCGAGUCUCUCUCUGGACCAAGUGGUCUGCACUGGUAGGAAGUGAGCAGACUUGGUUAGUCUGUCCACUAUCACCCAAAUCGCAUCAAAACCACCAUGUGCUCUCGGCAAUCCGACGACAAAGUCCAUCGUGAUCUGCUCCCAUUUCCACUUGGGCACUGGCAGACUCUGAAGCUUGCCAGUAUGUACCUGAUGCUCGGCCUUUACCUAUUGACAAGUCAGGCACUGGGCCACAAAUCUGCCAAUGUUCCUCUUCAUUCCAUUCCACCAAAACUGAGCCUUUAAAUCCUUAUACAUCUUGGUUCCACCGGGGUGAACCUUAUAAGGUGAACAGUGAGCAUCUCUUAAAAUGUCCUCUUCGAUCUCUGAAUCCAUAGGUACACACAGUCGGUCCCUGUACCGCAGUACUUCCGAAUUGUCCACAACAAAGCCCUCGGCCUGUCUCCUCUCAAGCUGCUCUCGAAUCCUCGACAAGUGCGGGUCUCCACUCUGUUUCUCUCGAAUCCUGUCCAACAGAGUGGGCUGCAAGAUUAUAGACAUCAGUCUCGCAGUAAAUCUAGGGAACACUACCUCGAGCCUCAGCCGCCGCAGCUCCUCGAGUAACGGUCUCUGCCGAGUGAUCAACAUGCUCAAGCUCUGCACUGCCUUCUUGCUCAACGCAUCUGCCACCACAUUCGCCUUGCCGGGAUGAUACUGAAUAUUAAUAUCAUAGUCCUUCAACAACUCCAACCACCGGCGCUGCCUCAGAUUCAAUUCCUUUUGGGUGAACAGAUACUUGAGACUUUUAUGAUCAGUAAAAACCUCGCAGUGCUCGCCGUACAGGUAAUGCCGCCACAACUUCAAAGCAAAGACUAUCGCGGCAAGCUCCAAGUCAUGCGUAAGGUAAUUCUUCUCAUAAUUCUUUAACUGCCGUGAAGCAUAAGUAAUUACCCUACCAUGCUGCAUCAGCACACAACCCAGUCCACUGUGCGAUGCAUCACUGUAGAUCACGAAUCCUUCCUCCAUCACAGGAAGGGCAAGGAUAGGAGCUGACAUCAACCUCUGUCUCAACUCAUCAAAGUUCCUCUGGCAAUCCUCACUCCAGAUGAAUCUAAUCCCCUUUCGCGUCAAACGAGUGAGGGGUGUGGAAAGCUUCGCAAAGCCUUCCACAAACCGACGGUAAUGCCCUACUAGUCCAAGGAAACUCCUCACCUCUGUCACCGUCGUCGGUCUGGGCCAAUCCCGAAUAGCAUCAAUCUUCUUCGGGUCAACCGCUACUCCCUCUGCUGAUAUCACGUGGCCCAAGAAAGCAACCUCCGGCAAUCAGAACUCGCACUUCUUUAACUUGGCUUACAACUUCUUCUCUCGCAGAAGCUGUAGCACAGUCCUCAAGUGCUCCUCAUGCUCGGCAUCGCUCCGGAAGUAUAUCAAGAUAUCAUCAAUGAAGACUACCACAAACCUGUCCAAGAACGGCUUGAACACUCUGUUCAUCAAAUCUAUGAAUGCGGCAGGGGCAUUCGUCAAUCCAAACGGCAUCAUCGUAAACUCAUAAUGCCCGUACCGAGUCCGAAAAACCGUCUUGGGAACAUCCUCGGCCCUCACCCUCAACUGGUGGUAACCUGACUGGAGGUCAAUCUUCGAGAAGACAUAAGAUCCUUGCAGCUGAUCAAACAGAUCAUCAAUGCGCGGCAAAAGAUACUUAUUCUUGAUGGUCACCUUAUUCAGCUCCCGGUAAUCAACACACAACCUGAGCGAACCAUCUUUUUUCUUUACAAACAGCACUAGCGCUCCCCAAGGUGACACACUGGGUCUCACAUACCCCUUAUCCAUCAAAUCCUGAAGCUGCGCCUUUAGCUCUCUCAGCUCUGCUGGUGCCAUCCGAUAAGGUGCCUUCGAGAUUGGUGCAGUUUCAGGAACUACAUCAAUCACAAACUCUAUCUCCCUCUCAGGCUGCAUCGUGAUCAACUAAGGGGGAAACACAUCCGGAAACUCGCGGACUAUAGGAAUAUCCUCGAGUCCCGGCGCCGCCGUAGGCACCUCUGUCACAGUCGCCAGAAAAGCAACGCAUCCUCUACUCAUCAGCUGUCGAGCCCUCGCCGAAGAUAUCCAGGUGGCAAACAAAGUACUCCUGCAGCCUUUGAAGGUGAACUCCUCCUGGCCUGGCUAGGGGAACGUCACAAUCCUCGCUCCACAGUCGAUAGUAGCAUAGUACCGUGCCAGCCAAUCCAUACCGAGCACUACAUCAAAGUCCUGCAGCUGCCCUAACACCAACAGGUCUGCGAGCAUGAUCCAAGAAUCCAACUGCACCGGACAUGACCAACAACGCUCUGUAACCUGUAAGACAUGGUCAGGGAUCUGCACCUCUCGUGUCUGUGACAAUGACCCUAACUCUAGACCAUGCAACAAUGCAAAUGCUCGGCUAACAAAAGAAUGCGUGGCACUAGUAUCAAAAGGAGCGCGAGUACGAAUGCCUGAAAUUAAAAUGAUACCUGCCACCACUCGGUCGGCUGCUACAGAAUCCUCCACCUGAGCUGCGUAAACUCUGCCACUCGGAGCCUGCUGUCGUCGCUCGCCCUGACGCGGCAUAGACGAUCUAUCCUCCUGGUGGAAACUCGGUGCUGCUCCAAAGGAUGGCUGAGAUGCCGGCUGCGCUGAUGCAGUGGAUGGCGCUGAUGAUGCUGCACCGGGACAAGCUGACCUCACAUGCCCGGGCUGACCGCAAGAGUAGCAACAGCCCUCUCUCUGCUCGCACUGCCAGGGCCAGUGUGGUCCCCCACAGAUCACACACUACGGUGUCCUCUGAGUCUGCCCCUAUUGACGAGAUCCCCUGGAACGCUGACGUCCCGAAGACCUACGACCCUGAGAGCGUGAUCGUGGAGGCCUCGGCGGACGCCUGCUGUUCGACUGUCCAGCAUCAUCUGAAAAGGAGCGCUUCCUGUCCUGACUCUGCCCAACGGUCGGAGUCCUCUCCUGUAGCGACACCUCACCUCUCUCCACCCACAAGGCCUACUCUAUGGACGCAUCCAAAGUCCUCAAUCUCUACGUCCGCGCCAACCUGAAGAUGUCGGGUCUCAGCCCCUGCUCAAACAGAUAGACCCUGUGAGCCUCAUCCCUGGCCACAAAUGGCACACAGUUCAGGAGUCGAGUAAACUCUCGAACAUACUCUUGCACUGGACGGUCCCCCUGCUGGAUCCUCUUCAAAUCCUCCUCGAGCUUCUGUUUCACACUGUUCGAAAAGAAUAUCCCAAACAGCAUUCCACAGAACCCAUCCCAUCUCAGCUGCAACGCUACCAGUCCCUGCUCUCUCCUCAUUCUCCUCCACAAGGCGUGGGCAUCACCUGCCAAGCAAUGGACUCCAAAAGACACCUGCUCCCCUUCAGGAAUGAACAGAUCCUCAAAUAGCUUCUCCAUCGCACUGACCCAUCCCUCAACAACCCAUGCCUCAGUGCAACUGCCAUCAAAAAUCGGUGGAUCAAAACGGCGAAAACGAGCCAACCUCUCUGUCCACCACUCCUGCUCGGCCUCUGUCAACUGUACUGGCCCCCCAGCAAGCGCAACUGGUGCUACUGGGACGGCUGCUGGCGGAGGGACUGCUGCAGCUGGUGCUGUCACUGGAGUACUCGGAGGUGGAACAGACGACUCUGGUGCCCUCGGUGCUGAACUCUGGGGGGAAGCUAACCUCUCGUACAUUCUCUCCAACAACUCCCCCUGCCGCCUCGUCACCUCUGUCAGAGCGGCUAACUGUGCACUUAAAUUCGGGGAUGCACUCGCCUCCGGUCGGGCCCUUUGCUCUACAACUGGGGGUGCACUCACCUCAGGUGGUGCACUCGGCUCUGCCUGCUCAGGCAUCUCGGGCGGGGCGGCAUGAUCUCUUAGCGACGGUCUACCUUGGCGACGAUACAUAGCUGUAAAGAACAAAACAGAAGUCAGAUACAACAAAACACUCUCGACCCAAUCAAACGAAAGUCUAGAAGGCGGCCCCUGUUUCUCCUCAAAAUUAUGUCGUCUACAGCCAACAUAAUUUUUCAGGACAAAACAGGAACUCCUCCAAUCACUCACUCCACUCUAGGAGGAGUUAGAACAACAAAUCAUUGACUUUCACGAAAUCAUUGACUUUCACGAUAAAGCACGCCUCUCACGUCUUGCCCUCCUAAGGUUUGCCAAACUUAGGGUUUCUAGGUCCUAACGACCUACAACUAAGCUCUGAUACCAACUUAAACUGUCACGCCCCGGAUUACUCGUUUUUCGGGCGCGCCGACAAAUCCGCCGUAUACAAAAAAAAUUUUCCUGUAUACAAAGCGAUAGCUGUACCUGUAGAUCAUACAAAACUACAAACAGUAGUAUAGAGCUGCUAGAAGAACCAGUAAUAAAAACAAACCGAGUUCCAUAUACAUACGCCAAAACCAAGAUACAAAACUACUCGCACUGGCGAGUUAAUUAUAUAUAUGUACAUGAACUCCAACAAAACAACUACCUGCAGUAGGGGCACCUCUAGCUCCGCUCGUCGGGUAGAGCUCUGACUCGCGGCGCCCUUGCCUCGAUCCUGAUCAGCAACAGCAGCAGCCGAAGACGAUGACUCUGCAAAGAAAAACGGGGUAACAACAGGGCGUGAGAACUACUGUAAAACAAGUAGUCCUCAGUGGAUGCCGCCCUCAACAACAUCGGUCUACCCACUAAGUCUACAGAAGGGAACAAAGAUAGUAAUAAAUGUUGGAAUGAAAUCUACAGCUACUAUUUAUUACACUAUCAUGCUCUAACUGACCUACUAUAGUAAUGUCAAUCCUGACCCAAUCUCUUUAGGGACUGUAAACAUAUCCGUCCCAGGGACUGUGAACACACCCGUCCCGCCCAGUUGAGACUAUCCAGCUACCUCCACACUAUCCAGUUCGUGGAGAGCAAGUCUAACCGGCAUGAACGAUACCAAUGCGAAAGCACAACGCCGGCCUCCAGAGUGGCACUCGUGGGAGCUACCCAACCGAGUAUGCAACGUAUCUCUGUCGAGCUCAAUCAGGCUCCAACUAGCCAAAGUUAUAUAAACAGGGUCAAAACAGGUCUACAAACUAAACCCACGUGCCCUCGGCACAAUCUGGAACCAAAACAAAAAUCUGGGUCCACCGCCAACCCGGACGGCACCCAAUGACCCGAAACAGCCUAGACUCUGCUGAAAAUUAAGCUCAGCACCCCAGCACGAGCGUAAAUGCCUUCUAAACUACCCCAGGUAUCCAUCGCACUGAUACUGCAACGAUACAGUCGAACCACGGUUCCUAGAGCUAAAUCUGGUAGUUCAAGCAUAUGAUGGGUCAAAACGCAGGUUUUUUCCUCAGUCAAAUUCCAAGUCCAACAUGUAUAUUUAUCAUUUAUUUAGCAUGUUUAAAUUUAGAUUACAGCCACUGCGAAUCAAUGAAUUUAAUCUAAUCAUAUUGUAGAUCAAAUAAUAAGCAUACAUGUCGAUUAUACAUCUACUCAUUUACUUAGGAGUAAUCCGAUGAAAACCCACCUCAAAGGCGAUUUCUCUGGCAACAACACGGUCUCGGAUCACAAGAACAUAGCUGGGAAACACCUCCAAACCAGCAACAAUCCCCUCAAAAUCUGGACAUUACAAUUUACUCAAAAUCCAUUAAAAUUCAUCAAUUUCAGCACCUAAGCUUAGGAUUUAUCCCAUUUCAAUAUCGAAACUUACCUAACAAUCUCCAAAUCUGGUGAAGAUGGUCUCAAUUCCAGUACCGGUUGAUAGGGGAUGUGACUCAACUCCACAAAGCCCCUACUUCCAAAGUUCACCCCAAGAAAACUCAAAAACUUGCAAUUCUGUCCAUAACAACAGGAGCAGAGGAAAAUCUGAGUUCGAC